rnacentral:misc_RNA from 1 species
GAAAUGCGAUAAGUAGUGUGAAUUGCAGAUACCGUGAAUCAUCAAAUCUUUGAACGCAUAUUGCACUGUCUGGAACUCCGGACAGUAUACCUGUUUGAGUAUCAGUUAACACUCUCCCACCCUCCCACAGUAGUAUGUGGGGCGGUGGCGAGGACUUGAGUCGUCAUCCGCCACCAGUGGCGGGCGUGACUUGAAAUGCAUUUGCUGGCGUAGGCAGUCUGACUGACGCUACUGGCUGACAGAGUUAAUGGGCACGUGUGCCUGUGACUGUCUGGCGAGUGCGUCGUAAUCUGCUGACUAUGAACAGCACCACCCAACAAACCAUACAGUGGCCACAAUGCGUGGCUGGCUGUGAUGUUGAUCUCAAAUCAGGUAAGACUACCCGCUGAACUUAA